rnacentral:tRNA from 1 species
GAGAAAGUGGCUCAGUGGUAGAGUGCUUGCCUUGCAUGCAUGAGACAUAGACUGCUAUAGUUUUCA